rnacentral:rRNA from 1 species
AAGAACUUUGAAGAGAGAGUUCAAGAGUACGUGAAACCGUUAAGAGCCAAACGGGUGGGACCUCGAAGGUCGAACCGAGGGGAUUCAGCUCGUCGGCCAAAGCCGGCUGGGUGUCGGGAUUCGCUGAUGCGACCCAGGAACUCUUGGGCGUGCCCGCACUCAAGUCGGCGUCGGCGGGCGUAUUUCCCCUCGUGAUGUAGGUCGCCGCGACCCGUUGCUGGGGACGUCUAAGGCCCGGGCGGACUGGUACCCCGACGUCGCGCGCUUCGGCGCCGGCGAAGGGGGAAACCUCCGGUGUCCUGGCUGCCCUGCGACGGUCGUGUAGCAGAGGGGCGCAUCCACGCCAAUCAUUCCUCUCGCGGCGUGCAAAAGGUCGGUGACCCACCCGACCCGUCUG